rnacentral:rRNA from 1 species
AUUGAACGCUAGCGGGAUGCCUUACACAUGCAAGUCGAACGGCAGCGCGGACUUCGGUCUUGCGGCGAGUGGCGAACGGGCGAGUCAUGUAUCGGAACGUGCCCAGUAGCGGGGGAUAACUACUCGAAAGAGUAGCUAAUACCGCAUACGCCGUACGGGGGAACGGGGGGGAUCGCAAUACCACCACCUGUUUGAGCGGACGCUGACGGAUUAGCAAGUUGGUGAUGUAAAGGCUCACCAAGGCGACGAUCCGUAGCUGGUUUGAGAGGACGACCAGCCACACUGUGACUGAGACACGGCCCAGACUCCUACGGGAGGCAGCAGUGGGGAAUUUUGGACAAUGGGGGAAACCCUGAUCCAGCCAUUCCGCGUGUGCGAUGAAGGCCUUCGGGUUGUAAAGCACUUUUGGCAGGAAAGAAAUCGCAUCAAUUAAUACUUGGUGUGGAUGACGGUACCUGCAGAAUAAGCACCGGCUAACUACGUGCCAGCAGCCGCCGCGG